AACAAAACGUGCGUCACCAUUGGAUACAGGGAGAAGGAAGAAGUUUUUGCGUAGAUUGCUCGCGAAAAAAGGCGACUGGGGAGUAUGACGCUCGGAAAACGUUGGAGCAGCUUGGGGGCGGCCGGGACAGAAGAGAGAGGAGAUCUAUGAUACAUGAAGCUGAGCUAAGCUAAACUAGCUGGCAACUUCAACGCACUCAAUGUUUUCCGAGCGCUCUCGGUGUUUUCCGUUGGUGACUUUCAGCGCACUCAUUGUGUAUGGGAAAUUUCAACGCUCUCAAUGUUUUCUCCAAAAAGGCCUGCAGCAGUGUUUUUCCCCUUUGGAGGUGUUGAAGUGCAGCGGGUGCUGAGGUCUCCAGGGCAUCUGAGAUUAGAAAAAGCAACCUCACUGCUACACCCCCACCCAGUUGUGUGCCAGCCCACUCCAUAGUGAAAAACUUCAUCUCUCCAGGCGGCCUAAGAUGGAUGUUACUGGGUUACAUGAAGAGCACAAUGACCCUGGCUUCUGAGACAUCAUUUAUCCUACACAGACCCAUGCAGAUGCAUGCAUGUAAUCCCUCUGAAUGACUGAAUCCAGAGGAGUAUAGAGGAAGUCCUUCUGAUUGGGGGAAAUACCCAUGGACCAACCUGACAAAAUCUUAACAACUGCCAUGAAGAAUUUGCCAUAACAGAGGUGGACUUGCUCGUGUGCUUCAUUGUCCUGCCGCAAAAGACUAGCACACUUUACAUAUAGAGCACAAACUGAUGCCCAGUUAGUUUCAUACCAGAUGUAAUGAGAAGCUCAAUUUCACAGCCUUCUUCAAAAUAUUAAAGAUCCUGGCAGCCUGCGCAGUGUGUUCCCCAUCUUUUUUGCCCAGUGACCGCCAGGGAAAAGCACCAACCCCCCUGUCAUCCUGUGACAAAGUUAUAGAAAACAUAUAAUUAUAGUUAAGAUGUAAUUAAUGACAAUUAGUGCUUUGGAUAUUAUUUUUUGUGACCACCUGGUCCUGAUGUUAUUGUGUUUGGUUAUCUGAAACUUUUCAGUGUGCAUUCUACAGUGUCAACGAAAUGCAUCUUACACUAUAGAAAUUACAUAAUAAUAUGCAAUA